AGGGCACCACCAGGAGUGGAGCCUGCGGCUUAAUUUGACUCAACACGGGAAAUCUCACCAGGCCCGGACACUGGAAGGAUUGACAGAUUGAGAGCUCUUUCUCGAUUCGGUGGGUGGUGGUGCAUGGCCGUUCUUAGUUGGUGGAGUGAUUUGUCUGGUUAAUUCCGAUAACGAACGAGACUCUGUCCUGCUAAAUAGUUCCCGCGUCCUUUGUUGCGCGGGAAAUUCUUCUUAGAGGGACUGGCGGCGUCUAGCCGCACGAGAUUGAGCAAUAACAGGUCUGCGAUGCCCUUAGAUGUUCUGGGCCGCACGCGCGCUACACUGAAGGGAUCAGCGUGUCUUCCCUUCCCGAGAGGGACGGGUAACCCGCUGAACCCCCUUCGUGGUAGGGAUCGGGGCUUGCAAUUAUUCCCCGUGAACCAGGAAUUCCCAGUAAGCGCAAGUCAUAAGCUUGCGUUGAUUACGUCCCUGCCCUUUGUACACACCGCCCGUCGCUACUACCGAUUGAACGUUUUAGUG
rnacentral:rRNA from 1 species